UGUAAAAUGGCUGAGUUGUAGGCGAUAGAUUGUAGCUCUAUUUACGGAGUUAAUUCUUCUUUUACAA
rnacentral:tRNA from 1 species